rnacentral:rRNA from 1 species
CGGGUGAGUAACACGUGGAUAACCCACCUAUAAGACUGGGAUAACUUCGGGAAACCGGAGCUAAUACCGGAUAAUAUUUUGAACCGCAUGGUUCAAAAGUGAAAGACGGUCUUGCUGUCACUUAUAGAUGGAUCCGCGCUGCAUUAGCUAGUUGGUAAGGUAACGGCUUACCAAGGCAACGAUGCAUAGCCGACCUGAGAGGGUGAUCGGCCACACUGGGACUGAGACACGGUCCAG